rnacentral:lncRNA from 1 species
CAGCAUCCCGUGUGGCUUGUGAGCCGAGGCGCUGGUACCCUGCUGAUAGCCACGGUCAUUUACUGAACCCGUCCAUAUGCGCGAGCUAGCGGCGCGACGGAGCACGAGCUGCGCGGUCGCCUGUCACCGUCCGUAUGGACUCAAGGUUGGUUAGUCCUGUCACCGUCCGACAACAGACUACGCCGAGCCGCCGGAGGUAGUCGCCUUCGCCGCCGGUGUCCGGGCUAUGAGCCCGAUCCGGCAAAUCUCGGCGGGGCUUGGCGCGUCCCAGCGCUCGGUCCGCGCCCUGAACGCCUCCAUCUCCGCGACGCACUCCCUGGCUCCCAUCCUCGCCACCCUCCUCCUCUCCUUGCCGGCGCCGGCGCCGGCGGCCGCGUCGAAGACCGCCUCCCACCCGUCCUCCCACGGGCCGGAGGCGUCGCAGAUCUCCACGUCCGUCCCGUUCCGGUGCUCGAUCCAGCUCCACCCGCUCUCCAGCGCGUCGACGCUCCUCGCCGCGCACCCGGCGCGGCACGCCGGGCGGCACGGCCGGCACUUGGCGCCGCUGAGUGGGCCGGGGCUCGCCAGCGACGCCACGGGGACGCCGUACCCGGCCACGGGCGGGAACGCGUAGACGCGGUCGCUGAGCACGCAGAACGGGAGGCGGCGCUCGCGCCCCGCGACGCCGGCCACGUCGAGCUGCGCGCGGAAGGCCGCCUCGGAGUUGAGGUUGCGGUACCCCGCGGCGGCGAGGCGGGGGAGCAUGGAGAGGCGGGAGAGCGCGGCCUCCGUGGCAUGCCGGCCGCCGAAGCCCAGGCGGUCGUUGAGGCCGCCGAAGCGGGAGCCCUCCGGGACGGCGUAGUAGUGGGCGUCGUCGUUUGCGGUGGUGGCGUUGGCGGCGGGGAGGAGGUCGGCGAGGUGGAGCGGCGCGGACCAGAAGCCGUCGACGCGGGUGCGGAGGACGGCGGCGUAGGUGAAGUUGCCGCGGGACUCGCGGUCGCGGAUGAGGUCCAGGCAGCCCUCCACCAGCCGGAAGUACUGCAGCAAGCCCUGCACCAUUUUUGCAGCGACUCAUCAGCUGAUGAACCGAAUGCUUGUUUGUGUAAAAGCAGGAGCAGUAAUAAUCCAGAUGCAUGCAUGGUUCAGGCAAGUGAAAAAAGAAAUGCAAAGUAAUCACGGUUAAACAGCGAGAGAAGUGGCGGGUCUAAGAUUUGUAAUCUGGCCUUAAAAGAUUCAUGAAUUGAUCAUCGAAAUUCAUGUGUGUAACCAACUAAAUAUGUACAGUUUUCUUUUUUUUAAAAAAACAAAAAGAAGAAGAAGAAGUGAGAUGUACUCAACAGUAGUCCACUUUGUUUUGCAGAAUUUUGUUUGGAAUUGGAUUGGAUGCUUUGUGUUUGCUUCCUUUUUAUUCAUUGAGCUUUUCCCUUGAGCAUGAAGACGCACUGCUCGAAUUUAGCAACUACUUUAAUCUGGAGAGACGGACUAGAAAAGCAUCUAUUCUGAGUGGUAGUACUACGUCGUAUCGGCUUUCUUGCACUGGGGACACUGCAAGCAGAGAAGCAUCUUCUGUAGGAUUGUCAGCUUUCACGUGCGGAUCGUACCGGGGCAGGAAUCUGAUCAUAAAGCAGGCAAAUUCCACAAAAUCCUAUCGGGACCUGACUGAUUCCUACGAAAUUUUAACAAAAAGAAGAAAAGGACGUUGAAAGGAGUACCGUGUAGCUGCUGCCUCUGCACCUGCAAUGCCGUGUGCUCGUUGUUCUGCACGUAGCAUUUUGACACGGACCGUCUUGACUGGGAAUGGGCGGCUGGCGUGUACACCGUAGCAGGCCGGGCAGGACAGGACACGGCGACAUUUUCGGAUUUUGACGUCGUGAGACGUAGACAUAUAGUAGAGCUAGCUAUUUAGGUCAGGUCGACCGACCUAAGUACUUGCGUAGUCGCAUCCAAGAACGAUCGAGAUCGAAAUGGCGCCGUCGUCGUCGUCGGCUCCGAUCCUCGUCAGCAGCCAUCAUCUUCUUCUUCAGUUCCCGGCGAGGGACGUCACCUACCUGGCCUGCCGCUUUCAAGCUCCAACCUAGCUAGAUUGCUCGAGAAGCUGUGUGCGUGCGUGUGUUAAUCUUCAAUCUCUUGUACCAAAAGGGCAACUAAGCUUUCAUCUGAUGAGACUAUGAGAGGUAGUUUUCCCUUUUGAGCAGGCACAGCCUAGUCGGCACCUCCUUUUUAUCGAUCCCUUUUGUGAUCUUUAGCAGCUGCCGUAAAUAAAGCACGCGCCAACCGUGAUGCAUCUACCCAUACUGCCGCGGCGGUUGAUGGUAGGGCGAUGGCAAACUGACCUGGAUGCCGUUGGGCGAGUUGGCGGCGGUGAGCACCUGCGCGCGGUCCGGCGUCUCCUCGACGUGCUCGGGGCGGAACACGCGCACGGUGGCGAGGUUGACCGUGGCGGGGGCGGCGCGCGCGAGGAGGGAGAGCUUGUAGGCGUCGGCGUCCAGCGGGCUGUGCAGGAACACGUCCACCGCGGCGGCGGAGGCGCCCGAUUGGUUCUGGUGGAGUACGUGGCGCGCGAUGGAGGGGCCGGUGAGCUCGAACCGGCGCGCGCCGCCGACGAGGCACACGGCGACCCGGGGAGCGGGCGGGGAUGAGGGGGGUCUGGAGGCGACGACGGUGGUGCGGGGGCGAGGCAGGGUUGAAGCAGGCACGGCGGCGAGGAGGAGCUGGAGGCGGAGCGUGGAGGGGAAGGAGAGCGCGGCGGCGAGGAAGAGGAGGAGCGGCGCCAGCACGGCGGCCAGGCGGCGGCCGCGGCGGGAGGGGAGGAGGCCGGGCGACGGCGGCGCGUCCGCGGCGGCCUUGCCCGGCUGCUUCAUGGCCGACACGACACGACACGCUAAGCAGGACGUACGUGGUCGGCGGGCACGCUGCUUGCUAGCGCGCGGCUAGGCUACUACGCCACACGGUGAUCACCGAGCAGUUGCCGCGCGCUCUCAUGGCGUGCGUGCGUGGUGGCGAGGGAGGAAGGAGAGGUAGGGGAGAGGUUACGAUGGAUGGGGACGCCGACGUGGGGGGUGGUGGACUGGGCCGGCGGGUGGUGCCGCGCGCGUUGUCCCGGCUGCUGCCGUGGCGGUUGCGAGCGAGGGAGGUCUCGUUUCACUCUUGGAGGGAAGAGGGGGAUGGUGCCUAGAUGAGGGGGGUCGAGGGGAUGGAUGACUUGGCCCAAUCCCAUAUUCCCAUCCCCUGCCGGGCUUUGCCACGACUCGUAACCAUCCUCGGUCGCUAAACCUGUUCUCUCCCAUGGUCAUGGACGUCCCAACAAGUAUACGUGUGCGUCUCGUACUGCUUUGAUCUCACGAGCAUCACGCCUUGGUAAAACUCUGCGAUUUUUAGCAUGCUUGCUUUUACGGAGUAUGUAUAUUUCUGUUUCAGGCAACUUUGUUCUUUUCUUUUUUUUAAAAAAAAAGACAUUUACUCGGCACCAGCGGUGAAGCUUUGGUCUGACCAUGACCAAGGCGCAAGCUUUGAGGUCGUGUUGUGCACUCCAUCUACCAAACUCUAAACGGAACAUGGUUUUUUUUUUUCGUCGGUAGCUGUGAAGCGUUUAGUCAGACGUCAGAGCUCCACGCCUCCACCAAGAUAAUGUUUCACAACUACAAGAAAUAAAAAAAUGUUGGUCUCAUCUCCCCUGCUCGGCUGCCGCAAACCCAACCCAAAGUAGGAUACGAAUUCCAUUAGUCAAUAGUAAUUGGUUGCAUGGAAAGUUCCAAGAUUACCGCUGGUUUCGGAGACAGCCCAUGAAUGCAAAGCAUGCAUGCUCUGAACAAGUCAGCCAUGCAACAUCUUGGACGCCCACGUAGCUGUUAAUUUUUUUUUCUUUUAAGCACCGGCGAACAGUUGGUUGAAGGGAUCUUUGGGAUAACGUAAUGAACACAUUGCAUAGUACAGUAUAUAAUAGUAUACAUGCCAUGUAUAGGGGGAGGAGUAUACACGCGCGUCGUGCGUUGUUCAUGCUCGUGCACGAAACAAAGAUCAACUCCAGGCUCCAUAUCGCUUGUUAAUUGGUUGAUGAUUCCAGCGAGGUGAUCUGCAACUACUUGCAGAUGAUUUGUUCAGUAAUGUAAUGGACCGGUGCAUGAUCGAGCUUUGUUAUUUUUUCCGACCUCUUAUUUGUUUCUUCUGAACUUUUUACACAACCCAACUCGUUAAUUUCUUCCACGGCGAUGACGAUCCCUCUUCUUAAUAUUUCUGGAAGCUGGUCUCUCUGUCAUCAUGAUAUAAUCUUUUUUUUAUGAUCGAUGACGGACCACCUCGUGGCCCAAAUCACAAGGACCGGCUAGCUCCCGGGCGGGGGACGGUCGCCUCCCUGAGCUGCGCACGGAAGGCCACCACGAAGUUGAACCAUUGGGGACGAGCUGGGUGGUCCAGUAGCCGUCGAGGCAUGUGCUGAUGAUCCAGGUCCGCGCCGCCGUCCAGCGCGGUCUCAUGGCCGCCGUGCACGCCCGGAACACGAGCGGCUCCUGCCGCGCGCCCGUCCGGCAGCGGGAACGCCGUCCGUUGAUAGCGCCGCCGCCGCCGAGCGCGUAUUGUGCAAGGGCUCCAGGAACUCGCGCUCGGAAGUUCCCGUCGACGAUCCCAGCAGCGCUUAGACUCUCCUGGUCGUUGGAUCUGCCUCGUGCGGUCUAGAUCGGCCUGAGUAGUUGCAGCAGGCGGCGACUAAGUCUCCACGGUACGUCUUCGCGCGCUGUGCCGCCGUCCGCCUUGUGCCCUUGUCGAUGCGCUGCGCCGGGCUCCAUCUCCAUCCAGAUCCAGCGAGGCGUCGCGCCGCCCGGCCAGGAACACGAAGGCAUCGCCGUGCCGGCUGCAGAGCUUCUCGUUGCCAGCAUACGGCUCCUACGCGUUCGCCGCCAUGGAACGCUUAGAUCGAUCCAUCAUCCCCAAUCCAAUCUAGUCCAACCUAGAACGCUGAUCGAAGAAUGGUUUUUUGUUCAGUUGGUGUGCCACCAUGCGUCGUAGCUUCCAAGAAACCCAGCGCCUGCUGUGCUCACUACCAAGUACCCAAACCAUGCUUUUGACAGUGACGGCACAAAAGAGAGUAGUACUACCUGCAGGCAGGGCUCGCAAAAUCAGUCAGGCGUCAAUGUUUUCAGGAAAAAAAAAAGAAGAAGAAAGGAUCGACCAAUCGAGGAGGCGUAAACUGAGCAGAAAGGAAGCUAGAUGGGGACGCAUGUCAGAUCGACCGAGAUGAGAUCAAUGUUGGUGUGAUGGGGCAACAGCCAGCAGCUGAACUGCCGCCCUUUUCUUCCCUCCAUCCAUGUCCAAAAAAGAAUGUGCAUCCAUUGGCAGCAACCUAGGUACAGCAAAGACCGAUGUGAUGCCUCAUCUGAUAUAUGAUUAUGUGCCGACCAAGACCAACACUGACCACCCACCCUUUAAUUUCUUGCAAACAGGCAUGAUAAAUUGACAUGUUACUGCCAGUCUAUCACACAAAAGCAAAACUGCUUGUUGGUAGGUUCACACGUGAAUUUUUGCAAACUUUUGAACUCGCCAAAGCAAGACUUGUUGGCAUGUUCACUGUGUUCCAACUCAGAAAAUAUAAAAAAUUCAACACAUGAUGAUGGUCACGUAUGCAUGUGCCACUGCAUUCUCUAUCCAUAUCAGAUACAAACUCUAGUGCUAACUGUACAAAUUUUGUACAGAAGAAUAUCUCAAGUAUGCAUAUAUUAUGUAUAUAUAUAUAUAUGCCUCUAUCCCAAUUGAUCCAGCUUUUCUCUGAUUGCCCCCUGGUUUUUUAUCCUGUCAAACUACCUCUGGCUAACACUAAGAGGGGGCAAACUGAAAAGAGAGCCAACUGUCACGGUCCCAACUCUCCUAUGGACUCAAGGUUGGUUAGUCCUGUCACCGUCCGACAACAGACUACGCCGAGCCGCCGGAGGUAGUCGCCUUCGCCGCCGGUGUCCGGGCUCUGAGCCCGAUCCGGCAAAUCUCGGCGGGGCUUGGCGCGUCCCAGCGC